rnacentral:lncRNA from 1 species
UGCACCAAUGUAAUGUAUACAUACCAUCAUUAACAUAUUAACACAUAAUCAACUUUGAUGGAGGAGCUGAUGUACCAAAAGUAUAAGGGGAAUGUAUAUAUUGAGAGGAACAAUCAACUAUAAUGAUCACGCGAAGAGGAAAACGCCGUUAAAUUUCAAGCACAAACAAACUUAGAACUAACCAAAGGCGGUUUCAUGAUUUCCAAUGAAUAUCAGAACAUGUCAAACUAAAGGAACAUCGGACAUAGAUCUGAAGAAUUCAUAUCUCAAGGGGUAGUUUUGGAUGGUGGCGGAGAAAAGAAAGGGGUUGUUGGAAUUGUAUAAGGCAAUGAAGGAAUUGUAGUUGGUAUUGUUGGCACUGAAAUGGUAGGCAAAGGAGGAAGUGCCACCUUUGGAAUUUUUGGCAAUGUUGGAUUUGGCAAAGUUGGAACUGUUGGCGUUGGUAAAUUAGGGGUAUUUGGCAAUGGUGGUAACCCCGCUUUUGGGAUGGUUGGAAUUGCUGGCAAUGGAGGCAAUGAGACCUUUGGUAGGGCUGGAAUGGUAGCCAGUGUUGGUGCUGAAGUUUGCAGCAACUGGGCGCGUAAGCCCCAUAUUGAUGCUUGAAAGUGAGAAAACUAUCAUCAAAGAUAUAAUGGCACAAUGGUUUAAAGUUGCAGCCAUUGUUAGAUUGGAGCAAAAUAAAGAUUGAAGGAGCUGGUUUUUGUUGAGUUUUGAGUU